rnacentral:rRNA from 1 species
UACGUAGGGUGCAAGCGUUGUCCGGAAUUAUUGGGCGUAAAGAGCUCGUAGGCGGUUUGUCGCGUCUGCUGUGAAAACCCGAGGCUCAACCUCGGGCCUGCAGUGGGUACGGGCAGACUAGAGUGCGGUAGGGGAGAUUGGAAUUCCUGGUGUAGCGGUGAAAUGCGCAGAUAUCGGGAAGAACACCCGUGGCGAAGGCGGCUCUCUGGGACGGUACUGACGCUGAGACGCGAAAGCGUGGGGAGCGAACAGG